rnacentral:rRNA from 1 species
AUUGAACGCUGGCGGCAUGCUUUACACAUGCAAGUCGAACGGUAACAGGCCUUCGGGCGCUGACGAGUGGCGAACGGGUGAGUAAUGCAUCGGAACGUGCCCAGUCGUGGGGGAUAACGCAGCGAAAGCUGUGCUAAUACCGCAUACGAUCUGCGGAUGAAAGCGGGGGACCUUCGGGCCUCGCGCGAUUGGAGCGGCCGAUGUCAGAUUAGGUAGUUGGUAGGGUAAAGGGCUCACCAAGCCAACGAUCUGUAGCUGGUCUGAGAGGACGACCAGCCACACUGGAACUNAGACACGGUCCAGACUCCUACGGGAGGCAGCAGUGGGGGAAUUUUUGGACAAUGGACGCAAGUCUGAUCCAGCCAUUCCGCGUGCAGGAUGAAGGCCCUCGGGUUGUAAACUGCUUUUGUACGGAACGAAAAGGACUCUGGUUAAUACCU